AGCUGCGCAUGUUUCUCAUUCGUAACCCUAACCCUAAAAAUCAUCCCUCUCUUCUGCCGCCGCCGAAUCUUUUUUCAACUCCGCCCUCUUUUUCUUUGUGGUUGCCACUGCUACCUUUCUCUUCUCAUCUUGCCGCUUCCACUCCCAAGGUGUGAAAGCUGAAGCAGCAUGAGCAGAAGAAAACGUCCACAAUAUUGUUGAUAAACUGGUUCUAUCGGAGUUCGUCGGAGAUCGGAAGGAUAUUAGCUCAGAAGCUUCAUCUGACUUGGAAUAUUAAAAAUGCUGCCAUCACUGCCAUCACCUGUUCUGGUAGCAAGAAAAAUCCAAGAAAUAGUUCUAACCGGUGUUUAGGUCAGGUUAUGCUUUGAAUAUACAACGGACGAAGUGUGCUUACAUGGACACUGUAACCAUGGAUGAAUCAUGGAUGUGGUGAUGAUCUCUGCAUGUGUUGAGUUCAUUUAUUCAUUUAUAAUAUAGCUCUGUCAACUUUGUACUUUGAAGAUGUGCGGUUAUGUUUUGUAUUUAGGAUGGACAAUGAAUUGAAAUUCCUUAAGUGAUUGUGAUGUUAGUCUAUGUACUUAUUAUAUUGUGUCAAGGUUGGACAAAGAUUUUAUUUUUGCGUUCUUUUUUGUUGAAGCUCGUAAUGUUAGUUUUUUGA